UACAGAGGGGGCUAGCGUUGUUCGGAAUUAUUGGGCGUAAAGCGCGCGUAGGCGGUUACUUAAGUCGGAUGUGAAAGCCCUCGGCUUAACUGAGGAAGUGCACCCGAAACUGAGUAGCUGGAGUACGAAAGAGGGUCGCGGAAUUCCCGGUGUAGAGGUGAAAUUCGUAGAUAUCGGGAGGAACACCGGUGGCGAAGGCGGCGACCUGGGUCGAGACUGACGCUGAGGCGCGAAAGCGUGGGGAGCAAACAGG
rnacentral:rRNA from 1 species